rnacentral:rRNA from 1 species
AUUGAACGCUGGCGGCAUGCUUUACACAUGCAAGUCGAACGGCAGCGCGGGCUUCGGCCUGGCGGCGAGUGGCGAACGGGUGAGUAAUACAUCGGAACGUGCCCAGUAGUGGGGGAUAGCUCGGCGAAAGCCGGAUUAAUACCGCAUACGACCUGAGGGUGAAAGCGGGGGAUCUUCGGACCUCGCGCUAUUGGAGCGGCCGAUGGCAGAUUAGCUAGUUGGUGGGGUAAAGGCCUACCAAGGCGACGAUCUGUAGCUGGUCUGAGAGGACGACCAGCCACACUGGGACUGAGACCCGGCCCAGACUCCUACGGGAGGCAGCAGUGGGGAAUUUUGGACAAUGGGCGAAAGCCUGAUCCAGCAAUGCCGCGUGUGUGAUGAAGGCCUUCGGGUUGUAAAGCACUUUUGGCGGGAACGAAAAGGACUGUGCCAAUACCACGGUUCGAUGACGGUACCCGCAGAAUAAGCACCGGCGAACUACG